UACGAAGGGGGCUAGUGUUGUUCGGAAUUACUGGGCGUAAAGCGCGCGCCGGCGGUCUUCCAAGUCAGUGGUGAAAGCCCGGAGCUCAACUCCGGAACUGCCAUUGAAACUGUUAGACUUGAGGACGAGAGAGGUGAGUGGAAUUCCCAGUGUAGAGGUGAAAUUCGUAGAUAUUGGGAAGAACACCGGUGGCGAAGGCGGCUCACUGGCUCGUUUCUGACGCUCAGGCGCGACAGCGUGGGGAUCAAACAGG
rnacentral:rRNA from 1 species